rnacentral:rRNA from 1 species
UACGUAGGGCGCAAGCGUUGUCCGGAAUCACUGGGCGUAAAGGGCGCGUAGGCGGCCUGAUAAGUAGGGGGUGAAAUCCUGCGGCUUAACCGCAGGGCUGCCUUCUAAACUGUCAGGCUCGAGCACAGUAGAGGCAGGUGGAAUUCCCGGUGUAGCGGUGAAAUGCGUAGAUAUUGGGAGGAACACCAGUGGCGAAGGCGGCUACCUGGACCGGUUCUGACGCUGAUGCGCGAAAGCGUGGGUAGCAAACAGG